rnacentral:rRNA from 1 species
UCGUGAGACAGGUUAGUUUUACCCUACUGAUGAAUGUUAUCGCAAUAGUAAUUGAACUUAGUACGAGAGGAACAGUUCAUUCGGAUAAUUGGUUUUUGCGGCUGUCUGACCAGGCAUUGCCGCGAAGCUACCAUCCGCUGGAUUAUGGCUGAACGCCUCUAAGUCAGAAUCCAUGCUAGAACGCGAUGAUUCUUUUCCUUGCACAACAUAGAUGGAUACGAAUAAGGCGUCUUCUUGGCGUCGCUGAACCAUAGCAGGCUGGCAACGGUGCUCUUAGCGGAAAGGCUUUGGGUGCUUGCCGGCGAAUUGCAAUGUCAUUUUGCGCGAGGGUAAAUCAUUUGUAUACGACUUAAAUGUACAACGGGGUAUUGUAAGCAG